rnacentral:lncRNA from 1 species
UUUUUUUUUUUUAAUUUAGUUCAAUUGCCUAAGUGCCUGGCAAAGCUUGAUGUGCUUGAGUUUCCUAACUUGUACAUAGAUAAUUCCGUAAAAGAGAGAGUUCAUCUCUCUGGACAUCCCAAGGUAAGAGGACACACACUAGCCUGUCCUUCUGCUAUUGCAUCUAGGGAGUCACUGAUUAGACAUGUUUUUUUCCCAUGUUGCAGGACAAAUAAAACACCCAACUUUGUUGAGGAUCGAAGACCCUGGGCUGUCAGGACACCUUUCCCAUCUGCUUGGCUGUAUUAGUGAGACUCUGUUACCACUUAACUAUCCUCUUGGCUGGAAUGCUUUAUUUUGUUCCCUGCUAUCUCCAAGAAAAACAAGUGGUUGUCUUGAAGCUUACUUAUGUUGUAUCUACAUUAAAUGAUUCUAAUUCCAUGCAUAAAACCCACUUAUUUAGAAGAUAAAGAUUCUGUUCUAAUUACCACCUCUGAAACUAGAAAAUUUGUUUCUGAUCCCACUAAUACACAGUUCUAUGUCCUAGAUUUUUCAGGUACAGGAGCCAAUAAAUUCUUUUUGUCUCAAGCAAAUUUGAAUUGCAUUUUCUGUAAUUUGAAGCCAAAAGAGUCUUAACUAAUAUAAUGGCUUGCCUACAACAAUAGACUUAUCUAGUUUUAUAGCCUUAGGCAAGCCUGAGUAUUACCUGUUCUUUCUUUCAUCCUCAGAUCUUCCUUGCUGAUGAGCUUUAUGUCUUUCUACUUCUUUACUCAUCCCAAUCCUCACAUGUACAACGUACUACAGUAAGUUGCCUGUUGAAGGCAUCGGUAUUCAACAGAUAUUUAUGAAGUCAACCCAAAUGAACAUUAAUACUGACUGGUUUUAAAUAGUUUUAAGUAUUUCUGUAAAGAUCAUUUACUUAAUAGUGAGAGUCAUACUCUGUGUGUCUCUAUAUGCCCUGCGCCUAGGAAAAUUCUAAGCAUAUUAGUUGCAUGCAUUAAAAAAGUUAAAAUGAAUUAGAAACAUUCAAUGGGUGGGGGAGUUGAAAUGGAUAACUGCCAGGACAGGGUCCCUGUAGGCUACAUGAAAAUGUUGCAUGAGAAAAUUCUUUUUUUGUGAGAAAGAACAAAAGGCAAAAUCAUAAUAACGAAUGCCUAAAAAUAAGCAAAAGGUAUACCAGAGGCUGUACAAAGGUUUGAUGCCCUAGAGAAAGUAGAACUGCUUACACUGCUUUGGUAGUAGAAAGACAAAGGUUAUACUCUCAUAAGUUAUGUGGACACCCACAAUUAAUUAUUGUAGUCCCGGCAAGGAGAAGGCCCAGUACUGCCACGUCAUGGAGACUACCGUGUGAAUCAUGCUCCUCGAUCAUAGCAGCCCUAGGACAGCCAGUGGGGUCAUAUCCAAGGAAGGACCAUGACCCCUUAGGAGGAUGAUCCCACCUCUCUUAUUUUCUUCCCCUUUCAUUUCAGACUCAUGUA